CAGAGGGUGCAAGCGUUAAUCGGAGUUACUGGGCGUAAAGGGCGCGUAGGCGGAUUGCUAAGUUGGAUGUGAAAUCCCUGGGCUUAACCUAGGAAUGGCAUACAAAACUGGCGAUCUGGAGUAUUGUAGAGGGUAGUGGAAUUUCCGGUGUAGCGGUGAAAUGCGUAGAGAUCGGAAGGAACACCAGUGGCGAAGGCGGCUACCUGGACAAAUACUGACGCUGAGGCGCGAAAGCGUGGGGAGCAAACAGGAUUAGAUACCCUGGUAGUCCACGCUGUAAACGAUGAGAACUAGAUGUUGGUAGGCAUGACCUAUUAGUAUCGAAGCUAACGCGAUAAGUUCUCCGCCUGGGGAGUACGGCCGCAAGGCUA
rnacentral:rRNA from 1 species